AAUGGAACAAUGUAGGCAAGGGAAGUCAGCAAAAUGGAUUCAUAACCUUGGGAAAAGAAUUGGCUCUAAGGGCUAGGCAUAGGGGUCCAAGUCCCGAACCCAUUGGCUGUCGGUGGACUGCUCGAGCUGCUAUCAUGGCGAGACGGGUCGCCCAUGCCGGUCGGGGGACAGAUUGGGAACAAGCCCUUUGGGGCCUCUUCCCCAAGUGUCGAACAGUCGACUCAGAACUGGUAUAGACAAGGGGAAUCCGACUGUUUAAUUAAAACAAAGCAUUGUGAUGGUCCCUGCGGAUGUUGACGUAAUGUGAUUUCUGCCUAGUGCUCUGAAUAUAAAAGUGAAGAAAUUCAACCAAGUUCAGGUAAACGGCAAGAAUAACUAUCACUCUCUUAAGGUAGCCAAAUGCCUCGUCAUCCAAUUAGUGACGCACAUGAAUGGAUUAACGAGAUUCCAAUUGUCCUUGUCUACUAUCCAACGAAACCACAACCAAGGGAACGAGCUUGGUGGAAUUAGCAGCGAAAGAAGACCAUGUUGAGCUUGACUCUAGUCCGACUUUGUGAGAUGACUUGAGAGGUGUAGGAUAAGUGGGAGCUGGAAACAGCGGAAGUGAAAUACCACUACUUUUGGACCCAAGGUCGGCCUUGAUUGGUCGAUCCGGACGGAAGACAUUGUUAGGUGGGGAGUUUAGCUGGGGUGGCACAUCUAUUAAAAUAUAACACAGGUGUCCUAAGAUGAGCUCAACGAGAACAGAAAUCUCGCGUGGCAUAAAAGGGUAAAAGCUCGUUUGAUUUUGAUUUCCAAUACAAAUACGAACCGUGAAAGCGUGGCCUAUCGAUCCUUUAGUCCUUUGGAAUUUGAAGAUAGAGGUGUCAGAAAAGUUACCACAAGGAUAAUUGGCUUGUGGCAUCUAGGCGUUCAUAGUGAUGUUGCUUUUUGAUCCUUCGAUGUCGGCUCUACCUAUCAUUGUGAAGUAGAAUUCACCAAGUGUUGGAUUGUUCACCAACCAAUAGGGAACGUGAGCUGGGUUUAGACCAUCGUGAGAUAGGUUAGUUUUACCUUACUGAUGACAGUGUCGCAAUAGUAAUUCAACCUAGUACGAGAGGAAUUGUUGAUUCGCACAAUUGGUCAUCGCGCUUAGUUGAAAAGCCAGUGGCGUGAAGCUAUCAUGCAUUGGAUUAUGAUGGAACGCCUCUAAGUCAAAAUUCGGUCUAGAAGCGAUGUCUAUGCCCGUCGCCCGUUUGCCAACCAGAAGUAGGGGGCCUCGGCCCCCCAGAGGCACGUGUCGUUGAUGACCCCCUCAGGGUGGACGAGUCUCGCAGGACGCCUAGAAGCGCUAUUCCCCACUGCCACGAUCCAUUGAGAUUCAGCCCUUGUCGCUUCAAUUC
rfam:Lupinus angustifolius cultivar Tanjil chromosome LG20, whole genome shotgun sequence.